rnacentral:rRNA from 1 species
AGCGAACGCUGGCGGCAGGCCUAACACAUGCAAGUCGAACGAACUCUUCGGAGUUAGUGGCGGACGGGUGAGUAACACGUGGGAACGUGCCUUUUGGUUCGGAAUAACUCAGGGAAACUUGUGCUAAUACCGAAUGUGCCCUUCGGGGGAAAGAUUUAUCGCCAUUAGAGCGGCCCGCGUCUGAUUAGCUAGUUGGUGAGGUAACGGCUCACCAAGGCGACGAUCAGUAGCUGGUCUGGGAGGAUGACCAGCCACACUGGGACUGAGACACGGCCCAGACUCCUACGGGAGGCAGCAGUGGGGAAUCUUGCGCAAUGGGCGAAAGCCUGACGCAGCCAUGCCGCGUGAAUGAUGAAGGUCUUAGGAUUGUAAAAUUCUUUCACCGGGGACGAUAAUGACGGUACCCGGAGAAGAAGCCCCGGCUAACUUGGUG